GCGCACUCUAAGGAGACUGCCGUAGAUAAUACGGAGGAAGGUGGGGAUGACGUCAAAUCCUCAUGCCCCUUACGUCCCGGGCUACACACGCGCUACAAUGGUCUGUACAGAGGGUUGCUAAGGAGCGAUCCGGAGCCAAUCCCACAAAGCAGGCCCCAGUUCGGAUUGAAGGCUGCAACUCGCCUUCAUGAAGGUGGAAUCGCUAGUAAUCGCGGAUCAGCAUGCCGCGGUGAAUCCGUUCCCGGGCCUUGUACACACCGCCCGU
rnacentral:rRNA from 1 species